UUUUGUGACGUGCUCGCUUCAUUCUCUGGGCAGUCUUCGUAACGUGAACAGUGAAAAACUCGUGUUAAAAACGGAAACCACGUUUGUAGAUGAAGCAACGAUCAGCUAUGUGCAAAAUCUAGCAAAAUGUGAUAUUACGAAAGAAGAGUUGACGGACGCAAUAGAAUAUCUUCGAGAUGUCCUGAUACAAUUUCCGUCCAGUCUUGUUGACAGUCGCGAGGUAUUUUACAACGUCAAUCAAAUAUGUUUUCCACCAACUAUACAUAGUCAAAAGUGUAUUUGUG